UCUUAACCACACACUCACACCCCGCUGGCACCACUGACUACAAGACACACAUUUUCUCACAUUUAAACAUCUCUGAAGUUGAGCCCCACCUAUAAUCAGGGGCUCCUGGACGGCAUGAAGCACGGCGGGUAAAAGGCAUUCGCAACACCGAGUGCCGUAUUUGGCACACAAUACGACCGCUGAGGCUCGACCGACCGCUGAGGCUCGAUGGCACAGGAGACAGGUACUGUCCACUAUGGCAACAUGUGGUGUGAAACUGGAAAUUAAGGUUUGACGUUAUGCGACAGCCUGGACACAUCAAGGGCGUUAUGCUAGGCUCCAGAGAAUGAAGCCCAACAUAGGACCUGAACUCAUGACCCUGAGAUCAGGCAUUAGCUGAGAUCAAGAGUUAGACACCCAACCAACUGAGCCACCCAAGUGUCCCAAUAAUAC